GCGGGUGUAGUUCAAUGGUAGAAUAAUAGCCUUCCAAGCUAUAUAUGUCGGUUCGAUUCCGAUCACCCGCUCCA
rnacentral:tRNA from 1 species